CAAAAGCUCCAACGCUCCAAAUUCGACAACAAAAACUUCGCAAUUAUUGGACGUGUGAAAGAUAAAUUUGGGGAUACCAGCUUGUGAAACAAGUUUGUCGAUGUCGGUGUCCAAUAUAAAAAAUAAACAUCUAACAACAGCAGCGGCAGUGAUCACUUUGGAGCGCAAAAUAAGCAAAACAAAAGUAGAACGAGAAGCAAACAAACAAGCUAGAACUCUCGUGAAGAGCUUGGCGAAUUACAGAAGCACCAGACGCGGACAAAACAAUCUGGAGCGGCAGAAAAAAGCAAAGAGCAGGCAGAGAAAUCAGUCAGUCAGAACACAGCAGCGCAGUGCAACGGAACAAUUGGCAGCCCAUUGGAGCUAUAAAGGGCGUGAAUUAUAAAGAUCAAGUUAAGCAAAAAAAAAGAAAUAAUCAUAUAAACAUACAUAAAAUUGCAGUUUUGUGAAAAAGCGAUAAUACAUUGUUUAAAAUCUUCAUACAUUUUAAGUGAGAAAAGCUAAACACAAAUACAAAAGGUGAAUAAUCCUUGAGAAGGUGAGCGUACAUACAUACGCACGUACACACCUUGCUUUAUUGUAGGGGUGCUUUCAGAUGGAAAGGACAGUGGCCUAUCGAAGGUGACGCGGCAGAAAUACAACACCGUCAGCGCUUUGACGACGGCGACUACGACAACUUCGGCAGCAUUGCAGGCAUUUGAAGCAGCUGGACUUCACAUGCUUGAUUCUGUUAUACAUAUGUAUAUACAUUUGUAUGUAUGCCUUUUGUGUGUGACGUUAUUUAACAACAAAAUACAUUACUAUUAUCAACGUGAAUAAAAGUGGUUAAAAAUUAAAGUACUGAAUUUGGAAUAAAUGAGUUAAAGGAAGUGCCGUACAAUAUUCGUUGGGUUUAAAGCCUGUUAAAAGCAAGGAUUCACUCACUGAGACACUUCAUCAGAUCGGCUGUUUUUGUGCUAAGGAACACGUAGGCACGUUUAAAUCCCAGACAAAACUACUCAACUACCCACUUUCCGCAUCAGCAGACAGCGAGCAUCAGAGGUGAAAAGGACAUUAGCGACACUGUAUACCUAAGUAGGUACAUCAAAGGUUGUCGUAACAAGAACAUAGUCGUUGAGCGGAUGGAAUAAAUUAUGAUCAGUGUCAUCGUAUUUUUAAUAGUAUUAUAGAAUUCAAAGUCUUUAAUUUUGGAAUAUAUAUACCUAUUUCUUUAUAUUGACGUCAGCAGAGUGGCGAGGUGGUAAACUUGUGAAGAAAAACGAAAGGCAUAACAACAGUGGACAAUUUUAGUCAAAACAGAUAUAUAUAUAUAUAUAUAUAUAUAUAUGUACAUAUGGCCAGUAGCAAAUUCACAGAAUUGAUGCAUAAAUAAGAAAAAAAAACGACGGAAAUCAAUGUGGAAGAGAUAAGAAAAUACACAGAUCAUAAAAAAAAUAAUAAACAACUACGAUAUUUAGUAGUAAAUCUUAGAACAGCCGAAAACUCAUCGAAGAAAUUAACAUUAAAAACAUAAAUUAAAUUCACAGUGUCAUAAAAGAGUGUUCAUUUAAUUCUACAACAUCAUACGACUGAUAGCGAGCAACAAAUGAGCUUCUUAUGAACAAAAAAGUAUUUUCACUAGCACUUUAAUUUUAUAAAAAUCAUACAGUUGCUGUAAUAAAACACACAAACAAGCAAGAUGCGGUUAUUUCCGGUGCGUUUGUCGAACAUAACAAAAAUGCUCGAUUUGUACUCGCAAUUCAAUCCGUCGCCGUUGUCAAUAAAACAAUUUAUGGAUUUCGGCCAAAAUGCAUGCGAGAAAAAAUCCUACAUAUUCCUGCGUAAAGAACUGCCCGUACGUUUGGCGAAUAUCAUGAAGGAAAUCGCACUGCUGCCCGAUAAUUUGCUGAAUACACGUUCCGUUAGCCAGGUGAGCUCCUGGUAUGUGCAAAGUUUCGAGGAGGUACUCGAAUUCGAAAAGGCCGAUCCGACACAUAGCAAUUUAGAAAAGUUCUGCAGCACUUUGGUACACAUACGCAAUCGUCAUAGCGAUGUGGUGCAAACCAUGGCGCAGGGUGUCAUCGAAAUGAAAGAGCAUCAAGGCAGCAACGUCGAUUCUGGCAUGGAAUCAUCAAUACAAUACUUUCUCGAUCGUUUGUAUAUGUCACGCAUCAGUAUACGCAUGUUAAUCAAUCAGCAUACUAUACUAUUUGGCCAGUUUACAAAUGACCAGGGUCGUCAUAUCGGUUGUUUAGAUCCUGCCUGCCAGAUCUCUUCAGUAGUGAAGGAUGCCUAUGAAAAUGCACGUUUCCUCUGCGAUCAAUACUAUCUGAUUAGUCCGGAGCUGGAAAUAACGGAACAUAAUCAGCACGGAAAAGCACUUAAUCCCAUACGUACUGUUUAUGUGCCCUCGCAUUUAUACCAUAUGCUUUUCGAGUUAUUCAAGAAUUCGAUGCGUGCCGUUGUUGAGAAUAAUGAUCAAGAUAAAUGUGAAAGGCUCCCGCCUAUUAAGGUGCUGAUAGCGGAGGGCAAAGAGGAUAUAUGCGUAAAGAUCUCUGACCAAGGUGGCGGCAUUCCACGCUCCCAAACCGAUCAGCUGUUCAAGUAUAUGUACAGCACAGCACCACAACCUACAAAAUCUGAUCUCCAUACAGUUCCGUUGGCCGGCUACGGUUAUGGUUUGCCCAUUUCACGUUUAUAUGCGCGUUACUUCCACGGUGAUAUCGUGUUGUUAUCGUGUGAGGGUUACGGAACCGAUGCAAUUAUUUACAUGAAGGCAAUUUCGGAUGAAGCCAACGAACUGUUGCCGAUUUUCAACAAAACGAGCUCCAAAUUUUAUCGCGCCACAGUACCAACUGGCGAUUGGUCGAAUCAGAAUUUUUCCAACCGUUGGCGUUAUAUAUAUAGUUUCUUCAAAUCCAAAACUGAUUAGCGUAUGUUUUUAAUCCAGAGAAAUGCUUGAUUCAUUUAAAUUGGUUUUUAUUUUUGAGUUCUGAUAUGAAUGCACGCCAGAUGAUUGCAUCGUCCCCCAAGCGCUACAAUGACAUGUUAUAGACC
rnacentral:misc_RNA from 1 species